rnacentral:misc_RNA from 1 species
UUUYGGCCCAAGGGCAACUUAGCCUUGGCCGUGUGUCGGUUUCCUGUGUUGAAUACCUACUGAAACGGAAUUCGUACGUGCGACGUUUUGUUAUUCGCCUAGUGCUGUCCCAUCGGUUGUCCCUUUGGGGUGCGGCGUCGGGUGAACCUCAAAGCGAUCUUCGUGUUCUUCGCCGCCCACGAAAUGUGCCGUUGGCGCAGCCCACGAGGAUUGCUUGAGCUCUCGGAUGCGGAACAUGCGGAGGGCAGUAGGCGUACGGCCUCUCUUUGCCCGAAUCAAGCGUUUAUUCGCUCAUUGCCGAACGACGGCCGGCGGUGCCCUUGAUGUGCCGAAGCCCGCCACGGGUAUUGGCAUCGUCAUGCAUCUCC